rnacentral:rRNA from 1 species
AUUGAACGCUGGCGGCAUGCCUUACACACGCAAGUCGAACGGCAGCACGGGAGCAAUCCUGGUGGCGAGUGGCGAACGGGUGAGUAAAGCAUCGGAACGUGCCCAGUCGUGGGGGAUAACGUAGCGAAAGCUACGCUAAUACCGCAUACGAUCUGUGGAUGAAAGCGGGGGACCGUAAGGCCCCGCGCGAUUGGAGCGGCCGAUGUCAGAUUAGGUAGUUGGUGAGGUAAAGGCUCACCAAGCCGACGAUCUGUAGCUGGUCUGAGAGGACGACCAGCAAAACUGGGACUGAGACACGGCCCAGACUCCUACGGGAGGCAGCAGUGGGGAAUUUUGGACAAUGGGCGCAAGCCUGAUCCAGCAAUGCCGCGUGCAGGAUGAAGGCCUUCGGGUUGUAAACUGCUUUUGUACGGAGCGAAAAGGCUUCCACUAAUACUGGGGGCUCAUGACGGUACCGUAAGAAUAAGCACCGGCUAACUACGUGCCAGCCGCCGCAGUAAUAC